GACGAACGCUGGCGGCGUGCUUAACACAUGCAAGUCGAACGGAAAGGCCUGCUUUCCCUUGUGGAUUGCGGGUACUCGAGUGGCGAACGGGUGAGUAACACGUGAGUGAUCUGCCCCCAACUUGGGUAUAAGCCUGGGAAACUGGGUCUAAUUCCCGAUAGGACUGCAGGGUGGUGCCUGUGGUGGAAAACGAUUUUCUAGUGGUUGGGGAUGAGCUCGCGGCCUAUCAGCUUGUUGGUGGGGUAAUGGCCUACCAAGGCGGCGACGGGUAGCCGGCCUGAGAGUGUGGACGGCGACAGUGGGACUGAGAUACGGCCCAGACUCCUACGGGAGGCAGCAGUGGGGAAGAGUGCACAAUGGGCGGAAGCCUGAUGCAGCGACGCCGCGUGGGGGAUGACGGCCUUCGGGUUGUAAACUCCUUUCGACCGCGAGGAAGCCACCUGGUUGGAAGGGUGGUGACGGUAGUGGUAGAAGAAGCACCGGCUAACUACGUG
rnacentral:rRNA from 1 species